rnacentral:rRNA from 1 species
UGAGGCUAAAAUGCAACUGAGCCGUCAUAAGCCCAAGAUGCACCUAAGACCGCCCUUAAAACGACCUCAGCACCCCAUGACUUAUUAUACCCCACGAAAGCUAAGGCCCAAACUGGGAUUAGAUACCCCACUAUGCUUAGCCCUAAAUCCUGAUGCUUCCCCCCACCAAAGCAUCCGCCCGAGAACUACGAGCACAAACGCUUAAAACUCUAAGGACUUGGCGGUGCCCCAAACCCACCUAGAGGAGCCUGUUCUAUAAUCGAUAACCCACGAUACACCCGACCACUUCUUGCCAAGGCAGCCUACAUACCGCCGUCGCCAGCUCACCUCAUCUGAAAGCAUAACAGUGAGCACAAUAGCCCUAAAUCCGCUAAUAAGACAGGUCAAGGUAUAGCCUAUGGAGUGGAAGAAAUGGGCUACAUUUUCUAGUAUAUAGAAAACUCACGGAAGAGAGUGUGAAAUCACUCCCUAGAAGGCGGAUUUAGCAGUAAAGUAGAAUAAUUAUGCCUACUUUAAGCCGGCUCUGGGGUACGUACAUACCGCCCGUCACCCUCC